ACCCAUGGUCAUGCCACCCUGAAUGUGCCAGAUCUCAUCUGAUCCCAGAAGCUAAGCAGGGUGGGGACUGGUUAGUCUUUGGAUGGGAGAUCAACUUUUUUAGCUUCCCCAUGUGAG
rnacentral:rRNA from 1 species